rnacentral:rRNA from 1 species
CGACGAUGCGUAGGGGUUCUGAGAGGAAGGUCCCCCACACUGGUACUGAGACACGGACCAGACUCCUACGGGAGGCAGCAGUGAGGAAUAUUGGUCAAUGGCCGGGAGGCUGAACCAGCCAAGUCGCGUGAGGGAAGACGGCCCUACGGGUUGUAAACCUCUUUUGUCAGGGAGCAAGAGGCGGGUCGAGACCUGCUGUGAGAGUACCUGAAGAAAAAGCAUCGGCUAACUCCGUGCCAGCAGCCGCGGUAAUACGGAGGAUGCGAGCGUUAUCCGGAUUUAUUGGGUUUAAAGGGUGCGCAGGCGGAGGCACAAGUCAGCGGUAAAAUCGCGGGGCUCAACCCCGCUCCGCCGUUGAAACUGUGUCCCUUGAGUGCGCGAAGGGUAGGCGGAAUGCGUGGUGUAGCGGUGAAAUGCAUAGAUAUCACGCAGAACUCCGAUCGCGAAGGCAGCCUACCGGCGCGCAACUGACGCUCAUGCACGAAAGCGUGGGUAUCGAACAGGAUUAGAUACCCUGGUAGUCCACGCAGUAAACGAUGAAUGCUAUCUGUCCGGCCGGAAUGACGGCUGGGUGGC